GAUGAACGCUGGCGGCGUGCCUAAUACAUGCAAGUCGAGCGAACAGAUGAGGAGCUUGCUCCUCUGACGUUAGCGGCGGACAGGUGAGUAACACGUGGAUAACCUACCUAUAAGACUGGGAUAACUUCGGGAAACCGGAGCUAAUACCGGAUAAUAUAUUGAACCGCAUGGUUCAAUAGUGAAAGACGGUUUUGCUGUCACUUAUAGAUGGAUCCGCGCCGCAUUAGCUAGUUGGUAAGGUAACGGCUUACCAAGGCAACGAUGCGUAGCCGACCUGAGAGGGUGAUCGGCCACACUGGAACUGAGACACGGUCCAGACUCCUACGGGAGGCAGCAGUAGGGAAUCUUCCGCAAUGGGCGAAAGCCUGACGGAGCAACGCCGCGUGAGUGAUGAAGGUCUUCGGAUCGUAAAACUCUGUUAUUAGGGAAGAACAAAUGUGUAAGUAACUAUGCACGUCCUGACGGUACCUAAUCAGAAAGCCACGGCUAACUACGUG
rnacentral:rRNA from 1 species